ensembl:lncRNA
GAGCUGUGCCGGUCAGUUUCCCAGAAGAGGACAAAGCGAGAUGUCCCAGCGGGUCUUUCCGGCUCAAGGUUAGAAACCUCCAGCUGCCAAAGGCACAAAGAGAUGGGAACCAAAGUGAGGAGAUUGCGGGGUGAGGGGUAGGUGUAAACAGAAAGAACUCCCGGCGGCUAUUGAUGACGCCACAGCGGUGCGUGUUGCUGUUUCCGGUCUGUUGGCCGCUGGAUUUGUUUUGUUUUGUUUUGGGUUAGGGAUCCGCGAGAAACGAGGAUGGACCGUAAAGGAUGAAGCAAACAUACCCAGUGCUGUCAACAUGGAGUUUCCACAAUGUGUAAGGUUUUCAAGUGUGACUAAGGAAUGGAAGUAUUGGGCUAAGGAAUGAAUACUUCUGUUCCUGUCCAAGGCUGCUGUGGGAGCCAUGCGGUGCUGUGCCUGCUGUGUCAUUACCAGGUAGAAGAGAGAAAUGAUG